GGCUUUGUGGUGUAAAGCAUAUUAGAUUGCAAAUCUAAAGAUGUGGGUUUAAUACCCACCAAGGCCU
rnacentral:tRNA from 1 species